rnacentral:misc_RNA from 1 species
AAGUCGUAACAAGGUUUCCGUAGGUGAACCUGCGGAAGGAUCAUUACUAAAUAAUCCGUAUGGAUUUUAAAUCCAUAUCCACCUCUUGUGAACUUGUAAACUGUUUUGCUCCCUUUCGGCGUAUCCAACAACGGUGAAGGCUUGGCCCCGAGGCUCAGGUCAAGGGUUCAAGGCUUUACUGGAUACGUUAGGAAGGGUAGCCCCAUACACCUCUAGUCUUGAUUAAUUGACAUAUCAACCUCUUCUUUACUCGCGAAAGCGUGUUCGGAAGUAAAAAACAAAUAAAUAUAAAUACAACUUUCAACAACGGAUCUCUAGGCUCCCA